rnacentral:rRNA from 1 species
AUUGAACGCUGGCGGCAGGCCUAACACAUGCAAGUCGAGCGGAUGAAGGGAGCUUGCUCCUGGAUUCAGCGGCGGACGGGUGAGUAAUGCCUAGGAAUCUGCCGGGUAGUGGGGGAUAACGUCGGGAAACGGGGGCUAAUACGGCAUCGGUCCUGGGGGGGAAAGUGGGGGAUCUUGGGACCUCCGGCUAUCAGUUGAGCCUAGGUCGGAUUAGCUAGUUGGUGGGGUAAAGGCUUACCAAGGCGACGAUCCGUACCUGGUCUGAGAGGAUGAUCAGUCACACUGGAACUGAGACACGGUCCAGACUCCUACGGGAGGCAGCAGUGGGGAAUAUUGGACAAUGGGCGAAAGCCUGAUCCAGCCAUGCCGCGUGUGUGAAGAAGGUCUUCGGAUUGUAAAGCACUUUAAGUUGGGAGGAAGGGCAGUAAGUUAAUACCUUGCUGUUUUGACGUUACCAACAGAAUAAGCACCGGCUAACUUCGUG